rnacentral:rRNA from 1 species
GAUGAACGCUAGCUACAGGCUUAACACAUGCAAGUCGAGGGGAACCGGCAUUGAGUGCUUGCACUCUUUGGACGUCGACCGGCGCACGGGUGAGUAACGCGUAUCCAACCUUCCCAUUACUGUGGGAUAACCUGCCGAAAGGCAGACUAAUACCGCAUAGUCUUCGAUGACGGCAUCAGAUUUGAAGUAAAGAUUUAUCGGUAAUGGAUGGGGAUGCGUCUGAUUAGCUUGUUGGCGGGGUAACGGCCCACCAAGGCUACGAUCAGUAGGGGUUCUGAGAGGAAGGUCCCCCACAUUGGAACUGAGACACGGUCCAAACUCCUACGGGAGGCAGCAGUGAGGAAUAUUGGUCAAUGGACGGAAGUCUGAACCAGCCAAGUAGCGUGCAGGAUGACGGCCCUAUGGGUUGUAAACUGCUUUUGUAUGGGGAUAAAGUUAGGGACGUGUCCCUAUUUGCAGGUACCAUACGAAUAAGGACCGGCUAAUUCCGUG